AUGAACGCUGGCGGCAGGCCUAACACAUGCAAGUCGAACGGAGUUAUAUUGUAGCUUGCUAUGGUAUAACUUAGUGGCAGACGGGUGAGUAAUGUAUAGGAAUCUACCUAGUAGUACGGAAUAAUUGUUGGAAACGGCAACUAAUACCGUAUACGCCCUACGGGAGAAAAAUUUAUUGCUAUUAGAUGAGCCUAUAUUAGAUUAGCUAGUUGGUGGAGUAAUAGCCUACCAAGGCAAUGAUCUAUAGCUGAUCUGAGAGGAUGAUCAGCCACACUGGAACUGAGAUACGGUCCAGACUCCUACGGGAGGCAGCAGUGGGGAAUAUUGGACAAUGGGCGAAAGCCUGAUUCAGCCAUGCCGCAUGAGUGAAGAAGGCCUUUGGGUUGUAAAGCUCUUUUAGUGAGGAAGAUAAUGACGGUACUCACAGAAGAAGUCCUGGCUAACUCCGUGCCAGCAGCCGCGGUAAUACGGAGAGGGCUAGCGUUAUUCGGAAUUAUUGGGCGUAAAGGGCGCGUAGGCGGAUUAGUAAGUUAAAAGUGAAAUCCCAAGGCUCAACCUUGGAAUUGCUUUUAAAACUGCUAAUCUAGAGAUG
rnacentral:rRNA from 1 species